rnacentral:rRNA from 1 species
GACGAACGCUGGCGGCGUGCUUAACACAUGCAAGUCGAACGAUGAUGCCCAGCUUGCUGGGCGGAUUAGUGGCGAACGGGUGAGUAACACGUGAGUAACCUGCCCUUGACUUCGGGAUAACUCCGGGAAACCGGGGCUAAUACCGGAUAUGAGCCGUCCUCGCAUGGGGGUGGUUGGAAAAUUUUUCGGUCAGGGAUGGGCUCGCGGCCUAUCAGCUUGUUGGUGGGGUGAUGGCCUACCAAGGCGACGACGGGUAGCCGGCCUGAGAGGGCGACCGGCCACACUGGGACUGAGACACGGCCCAGACUCCUACGGGAGGCAGCAGUGGGGAAUAUUGCACAAUGGGCGAAAGCCUGAUGCAGCGACGCCGCGUGAGGGAUGAAGGCCUUCGGGUUGUAAACCUCUUUCAGCAGGGAAGAAGCGCAAGUGACGGUACCUGCAGAAGAAGCGCCGGCUAACUACGUGCCAGCAGCCGCGGUAAUACGUAGGGCGCAAGCGUUGUCCGGAAUUAUUGGGCGUAAAGAGCUCGUAGGCGGUUUGUCGCGUCUGGUGUGAAAACUCGAGGCUCAACCUCGAGCUUGCAUCGGGUACGGGCAGACUAGAGUGCGGUAGGGGAGACUGGAAUUCCUGGUGUAGCGGUGGAAUGCGCAGAUAUCAGGAGGAACACCGAUGGCGAAGGCAGGUCUCUGGGCCGCAACUGACGCUGAGGAGCGAAAGCAUGGGGAGCGAACAGG